rnacentral:lncRNA from 1 species
CUUUGACACCCAUACAUGUCCUCAUGCUGCUCAGGUGUUCAGAAACAGGAUGAAGAAGGGAUUGUAAGAAUCCCUCCUCAAAACUACCUCAAAGCUUCUCACCAUGGUAGGGAAAUAGGAAUUUUGUUUCCCUGAAACUAACUGCACAAACAAAUGGGUGAGAGGAGUUCACCUUGCUGCUCUUUCUGCAUCUGGAAUGCUGGAAAAAACAUGCUUUCCAACUUUUUUCAACAGCUUCCGACCCCAGCAUCCCAAAUCUACCCUUAGCAACAUGAACAUCAGCCAGAGAUUUUUGUGCUGUGGCACUGACAAGAUGCACAUGUGCUCACCCCCAGUAAUCUGUUUACUCAAAUGCCAUCAUGGACAUAAGCAGCAUAAACUUUGCCUAAGCACGAACACCUGUCACCUUGUGAGGCACAUGUGCUCAGAACCAGGAUGGCAGGCUGGCUGUGAAGUGUUCUGUGACAUCUCACACUUCAGGCAUUGUAUUGGUAUUUGUCAUGUUGCAGCAUGAGGAGACCCAGCUGGCAUCCUGAGAAUUUCAAACAGCAUCCAUGAAGACCUAUUUGUUCUGUCUUGUAUUCUCCUGUAUUGGUGAUCUGUUGUCCUUUUAAG